rnacentral:tRNA from 5 species
CGCGGAGUGGAGCAGCGGCAGCUCGUCGGGCUCAUAACCCGAAGGUCGUUGGUUCGAAUCCAACCUCCGCAACCA